GCAAUCGAACAAAGCAAUAAUAAAGUGAAAAGAAACAAAGCGCAACUAUUCAGUAAAUCAACGAAUCAAAACCUUGCCUUCAGCACUUGUUGUUGUUUUCUUUCUGUUUUUAACUAAAAAGGAGAUUUUA
rnacentral:ribozyme from 1 species